rnacentral:rRNA from 1 species
GACGAACGCUGGCGGCGUGCUUAACACAUGCAAGUCGAACGAUGAAGCUAGAGCUUGCUCUGGUGAAUUAGUGGCGAACGGGUGAGUAACACUUGAGUAACCUGCCCCGAACUCUGGGAUAACUGCUGGAAACGGUAGCUAAUACUGGAUACGACCUACGAAGGCAUCUUCUGUAGGUGGAAAGAAUUUCGGUUCGGGAUGGACUCGCGGCCUAUCAGCCUGUUGGUGAGGUAAUGGCUCACCAAGGCGACGACGGGUAGCCGGCCUGAGAGGGUGACCGGCCACACUGGGACUGAGACACGGCCCAGACACCUACGGGAGGCAGCAGUGGGGAAUAUUGCACAAUGGGCGCAAGCCUGAUGCAGCAACGCCGCGUGAGGGAUGACGGCCUUCGGGUUGUAAACCUCUUUUAGUAGGGAAGAAGCGAAAGUGACGGUACCUGCAGAAAAAGCACCGGCUAACUACGUGCCAGCCGCCGCCGUAA